rnacentral:pre_miRNA from 1 species
CUCUCUGCUUUCAGCUUCUUUACAGUGUUGCCUUGUGGCAUGGAGUUCAAGCAGCAUUGUACAGGGCUAUCAAAGCAC